UACGGAGGGUGCAAGCGUUAUCCGGAUUUACUGGGUUUAAAGGGUGCGUAGGUGGGUAGGUAAGUCAGUGGUGAAAUCUUCAAGCUUAACUUGGAAACUGCCAUUGAUACUAUUUAUCUUGAAUACUUUGGAGGUAAGCGGAAUAUGUCAUGUAGCGGUGAAAUGCUUAGAUAUCAAGAGGAACACCUGAGGUGAAGACGGGUUGCUGGGCUGACACUGACGCUGAGGCGCGAAAGCCAGGGGAGCAAACGGG
rnacentral:rRNA from 1 species